rnacentral:rRNA from 1 species
UACGAAGGGUGCAAGCGUUACUCGGAAUUACUGGGCGUAAAGGGCUCGUAGGUGGCCAACUAAGUCAGACGUGAAAUCCCUCGGCUUAACCGGGGAACUGCGUCUGAUACUGGAUGGCUUGAGUUUGGGAGAGGGAUGCGGAAUUCCAGGUGUAGCGGUGAAAUGCGUAGAUAUCUGGAGGAACACCGGUGGCGAAGGCGGCAUCCUGGACCAAUACUGACACUGAGGAGCGAAAGCCAGGGGAGCAAACGGG